rnacentral:rRNA from 1 species
AUGGGCGAGAUCGAUGAUCGCCGGUGGGGCGCGGUGGACAGCUUAGUAUUGGUGGCGGUGGCGGUGGCCGUGCUCGUAGUGCUCGGCCUGCUCACCGUGAUCCUGUGCGUCGCCCUAGGAGAUAAGCAGCCGCUCUACUCCGCCGCCAUCGACGCCGCCACCGGCCUCGACGGCCACGAUCUGAACCCUCUCUUCAACCUCACCCUCCGCGUCGCCUCGCGGAGCAUCUUCAUCGGCGACUGCACCGCGCCCGGCACGGUCGUGGAGGUGAGCUACGCCGGCGUCCCGCUCGCCGCUGGGCCCGUCCAGAGGUUCUGCACCAAGCGAAGGGGGACCAGGGAGCUGCAGGCCAUCGUGGCGUGGGGGACGGCGGUGCAGAUCCCCGGGUUUGCCCUCGACGGCCUCGCGGCGGACGCCCGGCGAGGGACGCCGGUGUUCGAUGUGGCGGUCACCAUGCCGGGAACCCACUGGAGCAACCACCAUGGGACGAUGGUGUCGUGCAGGGGCCUGCGCGUCGGGGACACGGCCUCGUUGGGAGCUACGUGCGCCGCUUCGGACGUGGACACUAUCGUGACGCUGCCCAGACCCAGCGCCAAGGUCGACGGUGCCAAUUGA